UACGGGGGGGGCAAGCGUUGUUCGGAAUUACUGGGCGUAAAGGGCUCGUAGGCGGCCAACUAAGUCAGACGUGAAAUCCCUCGGCUUAACCGGGGAACUGCGUCUGAUACUGGAUGGCUUGAGUUUGGGAGAGGGAUGCGGAAUUCCAGGUGUAGCGGUGAAAUGCGUAGAUAUUGGGAAGAACACCAGUGGCGAAAGCGGACUUCUGGGUUGUUACUGACGCUGAGGUACGAAAGCGUGGGGAGCAAACGGG
rnacentral:rRNA from 1 species